GCUGGCAAGAGGCAUUGGAGGAAGCUGAUGAACUGGAUCAUCUAGUAACUUCUAAAGUGGAGGCUGUUCAGUAUGACCAUCCUCGCCACACAGUGACUGUGACAA